AUGCCCCGUGAGGGCCCCGUUGCCCCAGCACGCGCCCCGCGGCCUCCCCGCCGGCCGGCUCCGCGCCCCGGCGCCCCGGCCGCCGCUCCUCGCGCACCCCGCACUCACCUCCGACACAGUCCGCCGCCGCUGCGUUCCCGCGCGGCUCCCACACCAACGUCGGCCCGCGCCCUCGACCCUCGCCCCGCGCCCGCGCGUGGCGCGGCGCCUCCUGCCGGCCGCCCAACGGACGGGGCGGGACCUUAGGGCGGGGCGAGGCCUUUUGGGGCGGGGCCCGACGGGCGGGGCGGUGUCUCCUCCCGCCGGCCACCCAAUGGACGAGGACGAGACCCUGAGAAGGCGGGGCCUCAAGGGGGGGCGGAGCUGAUGACGAAAUAAAGGUUCAGAGAGGCCGGACAGGUGGAGCCAAGAACUGAGCCUGAGACCAUGUGAUCGAACAAUCCCCUUUACAGGACUCCCCCCAUACAUGUAAGAACCUUUAUAGGACUCCCCAUAUACAUAUACACACGCUCAACCUUGACCCUCAAGAGGCAGGUAUCAGGGCUGAAAGCAGAGCCUGGUUCUCACCAUGACCCAGGCUCAUCUCCCACUCCUCCCUGCACCCCUCUUCAGCAGGGGUUGCCAAACGAUGGCCUCUGGGCUGCUGCUUUGAUAAAUAAAGUUUUAUUGGAACA